rnacentral:rRNA from 1 species
UACGUAGGGGGCAAGCGUUGUCCGGAUUCAUUGGGCGUAAAGAGCGUGUAGGCGGCCAGGCAGGUCCGCUGUGAAAACUCGAGGCUCAACCUCGAGAUGUCGGUGGAAACCGUCUGGCUAGAGUCCGGAAGAGGAGAGUGGAAUUCCCGGUGUAGCGGUGAAAUGCGUAGAGAUCAGGAAGAACACCGGUGGCGAAAGCGCUCUGCUAGGCCGCAACUGACACUGAGGGACGAAAGCUAGGGGAGCGAAUGGG